rnacentral:rRNA from 1 species
AACGAACGCUGGCGGCAGGCUUAACACAUGCAAGUCGAGCGCCUCGCAAGAGGAGCGGCAGACGGGUGAGUAACGCGUGGGAACGUACCCUUAUCUUCGGAAUAGCUCUGGGAAACUGGAAGUAAUACCGAAUAUGCCCUUAGGGGGAAAGAUUUAUCGGAUAAGGAUCGGCCCGCGUUGGAUUAGCUAGUUGGUGGGGUAAAGGCCUACCAAGGCGACGAUCCAUGGCUGGUCUGAGAGGAUGAUCAGCCACAUUGGGACUGAGACACAGCCCAAACUCCUACGGGAGGCAGCAGUGGGGAAUAUUGGACAAUGGGCGCAAGCCUGAUCCAGCCAUGCCGCGUGAGUGAUGAAGGCCUUAGGGUUGUAAAGCUCUUUCACCGGAGAAGAUAAUGACGGUAUCCGGAGAAGAAGCCCCGGCUAACUUCGUG